UGCAAGGACUCAGAAAUCAGCUUUGUCAGGAAUAACUUGUACUUUUCUUGACCUGCCUGGAACUUUGUUUUCAAUUGUUCAGCUAUAAAAGCCUGACUAGGUGUCUAUGACUGGUUUGCUUUAUUUUUCUACAGCUCUGUAUUAUAUAACUGUAAUCCUGUACAUACUCUUGCAACAAGUAGAACAAAAUAGUAGUGGCUCUGACAUAAUAGUGUAAAGCAGAUAAAUGCAGGUUUGUUAUGGCAGUGGAGGAUUUAAAAGCGGGUUGGAAACUGUGUGGAAUGUAGAGGAACCCAGGCAUGGGAUGGUAAGAGAAGUGACCCAGGGUUGGCUCUAGAGGGCCUAGACCUGUAAACUUAACUAUGGACAAUUAAAGGAAUGCAGAGUAACUCGGAAAAAAGCAAGAAGUGCCCACUAUAUGCAACACACUUUCUAUAUACUAAAUUCAGCUUUAACAUGGACCUACAGCCCUGCAAAGAAAGAGCAAAGUUUGCAUGGUGUGUUAGAAGAACAAAUAAAUGACCCAAACCAGCUCCUACAGUGAGGGAGAGGCAGUUACCAUUAACAUUAUAUUGCUCUUGUCAAUGCAUUCAGGAUCCUGAAAACUUGCAUGUCCAACUGAAGAUAUCAACUGCAAGAGGCCAAGAAGCAGUAGAAGGGUGAAUAUAAAUGCAAGGAAAGGGGUAGAUAAAAAGAAGUCCAUGUUUAAUAAUUUUACUUUAUUACUAUUACUGAUUCUUCCACAAUAAAAGAGAGUUUGAUAAUUUGUUUUUCUUUAUUUUCCUUUCAUUUCCUAUAUUCCUUUAUUUGAAGGAAUAAAUAUUCUUCAAAUAACUAUUUAGGAUUUAAAUUACCCAAAGAAAAAAUACUUUGUUUACAUAUAUAAGAUUUGGGGGAUUUUUGCCUUUAGGAAGAUAGAAACUUAAGUUUAGAUCCCUGAAAAAUGGUACUGAAAGAUUUUUUAGUGUUUCAACACAAGGAAAUAACCUUCUAGUUCAGUUAAACUCAUGCAACCUGAUGUUCAUUUGGAACAGCUUCUCCUACAAUCUUCUACACAUUGUUUUUUUCUUCUACAUACCCUUCUUUCCAAUUUGUAUGUACCAACCUUUGCAUUUAAAAAAAUCCACAGGGCUAUAUAUAUUUGUUCAGGCAUUUGAAGAAAAAAGACUUUCAUGACUUUCUGUCUAUGUCUAAGAUAUUUAAUCCUAACAGAAUGCUAUUGGAAUAACAUUUUUUAUUUCAGUUUCAAGAAACAUGGAAUGGAAGAAAAACUUGAUAUAAUGCAUUUAUUUCUAUAACAACCUACUCUGACAAAACUUCAUUAUACUUCAGGCUAUCAACUGGAGCAUCUGUUCACAUAUCCCUUAAACUGUAAAGUGGGCAAUGUAUCAGCACAAAGUGCAUGUUAAAACACCAGAGUGAUAUUAGGAUCAUCCCUUCUCAAGUGAAAAUGAAUACUUUUAACCAAACUUUUGCAUAUGUCCUUUCCAAAAAACAAAACAAAAAAAGAGGGAGUGUAUACCCUACACAUUACCAGAAUAUAUUGGCUGCUACAUGCAAAAAAGUAUCAUGUAAGUGAAAACAUUAGAAGAGACUACACAGAAUAUGGUUUCCCCAUGGAAAUAUUUCUGCAAGACAAGCAGCCUAUAGGCAAAGUAGGUUGAAGCUAUUCCAGCACCAGGUAAAAACUUUCAAGCUGAAGGCAUCCCAAAAAUCCACUCAUUUUCACUUUUUUUGCGCACAUGUAACAGCUACUUCAAGCAGAUCUCAAAAUCUGAAAGAGUAUGAGCUUUGUUUGAAACAAGUGUUAUUUUCUUACUAACUGUGCUAAUUCAGCAAAAUGGUAAAGCUGAGCUGAAUCAUCAUGCAAAUCUGUGAGAAGCUUUAAAAUACUAGCUGCAAAAUGAAAACACAUUUUAUAUUUAUUUGUAAAGCCAAGAGAUUAAAAAUUUGAAACUUACAUCUGCUGAACUUUACAAUAUACUACAGAGCAAGAAUAAUAAUAUUAAAAAUUUUAAAAUGAACCCUAAACCUAGUAGGAGGCACAGUCACAACCAUUUGCAAUAGAAUUGGCUAUCCUUUAUGUCACAUUAUUAUAAUGUACAGAAAAUACACAUUUCCUGAUAGAGCCAUCAGUUAUGUUUAUGUUCCAGUACAAUACACAUUCAGAACAUACUUCAUUAAAAAGUAGCUUGUAAGAGAAACAGACACACAGCUUGCAUCAGAAUUCUAGCUGCAGAGGACCUUAAAAAUAUCUACAAUUGCACUUCCAGCUUCAUGUUUAGUUUUCAAUCUCCUAUAAACCAAAACACCUGAAUGAAGUUGGCCACUAUUCUGAAACCCAUUGACCACCUUUUCUCACAAGAGAGCAAAUGUGGUUGAAGCUAUACAACCACAUUCAAGUGUUGUCCCAAAACAGACUGCUACAUGCAACCAGCAAGCUCCAGACAAGUUCUGCAGCUUUCAAAGCAUGCAAAAAACUGAUAAACACUCUCAGCCUUCCAAAUGUCAGAGAGCAUUCAGGCAUAACUCCAGAGACAAGACAUCCUUGUUGAAGAUACUGCUCCAGAAAACAAUUCAGAGGAAUUGAACUGUCUUCUACCUGAAAUUGAUCCACAGAAUUCCUUCUUCACUAACAGCACAAAGAGAUGAGCCUUCCUUGACUUUUCUUCCUGGAAAUUGUAUUUUGUCUGCAUAGGCUCUCCUUCAGUAGGGAAAUAUGCCUAGAAGAUUCAAGAUAAGCAUCUUCCAUUGCUGCAAAUUGUUGGUCCAAAAGUUGUGACUGACCAGAAGGCACUAUGGUUACAUGCCAGCAUUUCAAGGGUUGUGCUUGAAUACUCAGCUGCUGAGCAGGCUGGAAAUAUGAGGCUGCAUGCAUCUGGUCACAAUUGACCCCAAACUCCUUAGUCUGCUAUUUCCUGUCUGCUGUAUGUCUCACUGAAUACCCAAAAUCACGAAUCAAAACAGUUCAACAGAGAAGGAAGAGAGAAAUAGCACCCAAAAUUUUUUAAAGGUAAGAAAAAAUCUAAAGUAAGAGCAGUUAAGGGGUCAGUUAACAAUUUUUCUGAUCAAAAUUAUGGUAAAAUUCUUAUUUUACUUCCAGGAAAUUGAAUUAAAAUGUGGUGAGAUUUGAUGUAGAUGAGUUGUCGUCUACAGGAGGACUCAUUACUUCAGUAAGCCUAAGGACAAGAAACUUAAGGACAUCUAUGGAUUAUAUUUCCUGCAACACAGCGCGUGGGAUUGAGUGCAAAUUUGCUGAUGACACCAAGGCUGUGGUCUGGUUGUGAUAUUGGAGGGAAGGGAUGCAAUCCAAGUGGACCCUGACAGGCAGAAGUUGGCCCAUGUGAACUUCAUGAAGCUGAACAAGGCAAAGUGCAAGGUGCUGCAUCUGGGUCAGAGCAAUUCCAAGCUCAAAUACGGUCUGGGUAGAGAACGGAUUGAGAAAAGCCCAGAGAAGAUGGACUUGUGGGUGUUGGUUAAUGAGAGGCUCAAAAUGAGCUGGCAAUGUGUUUUCAGCCCAGAAAGCCAAUCAUGUCCUGGGCUGCAUCAAAAGUAACAUGGCUAGCAAGGUGAGGGAGGUGUUCUUCUCCCUCUCCUCCUCUCUCCUGAGACCCCACCUGGAGUGCUGCAUCCAGCUCUGGGUUCACCAGCAUAAAAAGGAUGUGAACCUGCUGAAGCAAGAUCAGAGGAGGACCAUGAAAGAUGAUGAGAGGGCUGGAACUCUUCAUUUGUGAGGACAGGCUGAGGGAGUAGGGGUUUUUCAGCCUGGAGAAGAGCAGGUUCCAAGGAGACCUUAUGGCACCCUUCCACUAUAUUGAGGGGACUUACAAGAAUGCUGAGGGAACUGGUCACAAGGACAUAUAGUGAUAAGACAAGGGGCAAGGUUUAUAAACUAAAAGAGUGUAGGUUUAGACAGAUAGUAGGAAGAAAUACUUUACUGUGAGGGUACUGGAAUAAAUUUCUUAGAAAAGCUGUGAAUGCCCCAUUCCUGAAAGUGUUCAAGGCCAGGUUGGAUGGGGAUUGAGACACCUGGUCUAGUGUAAACUCUCCCUGCCCAUGGCAGAGGGGUUGGAAGGAAAUGGUCUUCAAGGUCCCUUCCAAGCCAAGAGUUCUAUGAUUCUAUGAUCAAAGACAUUGCAUGUCCAAAUUCUAAUGGCUGCAAACAGCCUGAGAAACUAAAUACAUCUCUGAAAUUCCGCUUGUAUUGUGUGUAGGUGGCAAGAUUUUGAGCAACAUGAGGGCUACAGGGAUGGCUGCUUUGGCAGGAGAUCAGAAUGAGUCUUUUCCCAGACUCAGCUGGUUUCAGCCUUCUCCACAAUGGACCCACAACUGGUAGAGUAUAUUUAAAGAGAUAAGAGAAAGGAGAAAGUGUGAGAAACGAUCCUGCAAGCAACAUUGUCUGACAAGAAGAGUGAGGAUGUGCUCCAGGUGAUGUACCAGACAGUCCUUUGUAACUCUUGCUGGAGCAAAUUAUUUCCCUGUAGCCCAUGUACUUGAUCACAUUGGAAUAAAUAUCCACCUUGCAGCCCUAGAAA